UACAGAGGUCUCAAGCGUUGUUCGGAUUCAUUGGGCGUAAAGGGUGCGUAGGCGGCGCGGUAAGUCGGGUGUGAAAUCUCGGAGCUUAACUCCGAAACUGCAUUCGAUACUGCCGUGCUUGAGGACUGGAGAGGAGACUGGAAUUUACGGUGUAGCGGUGAAAUGCGUAGAUAUCGUAAGGAAGACCAGCGGCGAAGGCGGCCAACUGGACAGAUACUGACGCUGAGACUCGAAAGCGUGGGGAGCAAACAGG
rnacentral:rRNA from 1 species